GAUGAAGAACGCAGCGAAAUGCGAUAAGUAGUGUGAAUUGCAGAAUUCAGUGAAUCAUCGAAUCUUUGAACGCACAUUGCGCCCCUUGGUAUUCCAUGGGGCAUGCCUGUUCGAGCGUCAUUUGUACCUUCAAGCUCUGCUUGGUGUUGGGUGUUUGUCUCGCCUCUGCGUGUAGACUCGCCUCAAAACAAUUGGCAGCCGGCGUAUUGAUUUCGGAGCGCAGUACAUCUCGCGCUUUGCACUCAUGACGACGACGUCCAAAAGUACAUUUUUACACUCUUGACCUCGGAUCAGGUAGGGAUACCCGCUGAACUUAAGCAUAUCAAUAAGCGGAGGA
rnacentral:misc_RNA from 1 species